UUCGGCUAAAAAAAUAUUCCCGGAAACUGAGUGCCAAUAGAUGGACUUCAGGACUGCAUGCAUCAGCCAAGCAAGAUGAAUGGGAAUGCUUACUGAUAGCUCUCGCCAUCGCCGAGCGGAGGAGCAGCCAACACGAAGCAGGUCCAACAACAUGCCUCUCAGCACGAGCGGGAAGUCUAAUUUUCACAUCUGCUCAAGUGAGAGGCUUAAAUCAACAAUCACUUAAGAUAACAAGACUAUAUAAAUUACAAUGGCAAUGAAUUUUACUAGCAAAGCUCUUAAACACCCAAUAUUGUGGGCGUCUGAAGGCCCUGCUGAGUUGAGCAACUGCAGUGAGAGUGAGUAACCGGUGACUCAAAGAAGUGGCAGAAGUUCAGAUCGACUGUCCCGCAGGAAGCGGCGCUGAAGGUGUAAAUGAUGCUGCCAUAUUUCAUGUUCCUGGCAACGAGCGGCUGCAUGCGUUAUCGGCACUGAAUGCCAGGAAAUUUGCUAAAUGGUGCUUGACAGCCAGUGUUCACCAUUCAUUUUUAUUGUAUGGAAAAGCAUCUCCCGGUGUAUUUGAUGGCGAACAGACAGUCGAUGGCUUUGGACUGACAUGAAGGUGCUGUUUCUUUGCUUCUGUCGCCACCAGAGACGUCGCCACCCAGGACGCUGAAACAUCCCCAGGCCACGACUUCGAGAGCCUGUUUGUGGUGCCUUCGCCAGCUUCCCUUCUGCUCUUUUCACAUCCAUUCAGCAGUUUUAUCACACCUCCGCAGGAUCUCCAUUGAGUUGAUGUGUGUUUUGGGCCUGCAGGCAGUUGAUGAAACAUGACUGAUUUGUCUAAGGUGCAUGAGUGAUGUCAGGGAGAGAGGAGGGACAUAUUUCCACCCGGCAGGUCAAGGGUCAGUGUGAGGUUACUCUUAAACAGUGUGGUAGAGCUAAGCAGGGCCUGGGGCUUCUGCCUUUCAUAGAGUCGGAGACACAGCCUGUUUAGACAACAGUGUUGAGGAGCUGCUUCAGUUUUAACUGUCUGACUUCGUUUACACGCUAAAGAAUGAGUCAAGGUGCUUAAGGUUCCUUUCUGUAAAUUUUUUUGCUUUAGAGGAAUAGUUCACCCACUCAAAAAUGACAUUUCUCUCAUGUUGUUCCAAACACUUUCUUCUGUGUAAAUGUACCAAUAAAAGUGGAUCUAGUGAGCUGCCAACAGAAUCAUUUUAGACUUUUAUUCACAUAAACAUUCAUCAAUGCACACAUCAGU